UUUGGCACAUCAUGAUUAAUUACUUGUCAAAUAAAAGCGAACACUUUCGCCACCGGAGUGUCGUAAGCGUUGUGUAUUUAGUGCACAUACCGUGCAAAUAUUUGAAUCAUCCCACGUUCGGGCACAUUAACGUAAUGCUCCAUGCUAGCUUAUUCCACUGAAAAAGGGUUUCAAUCGCAAUGUUAAACACUCACUUCCUGUCAUUUAGCACUACAAAUUGAUAUGUACGACUCCAUCUGUAUCCUCUUCAAUUCCGAUUUCGACAGGAUCAAUUACAUAACAUAGCAACAAUACAUGCAUCGCCGACCGACAUUUAUUUUUUGGAGGAUCCAUUUCCGCUCGGAUCUACUUACGCAAUCUGAUUUGAUAUAAAACUCGUCGUCGUCAUUUUCACUAAGAUUGGUUCCUAGCAGUAUAUUGGCAACACUUUGGCGUCUCUUGAAGGAUGAACUGAUCGUUCGGUUCGACUCGCCGGACGCGUGUAAAUACAUGCUUUUGCAGAGUUCUGGCUCUAGUCUGCACACCAAGUGACCACCAGGAUAGAAC